rnacentral:rRNA from 1 species
GACGAACGCUGGCGGCGCGCCUAACACAUGCAAGUCGAACGAGAGAGAGGGAGCUUGCUUCCUCAAUCGAGUGGCGAACGGGUGAGUAACGCGUGAGGAACCUGCCUCAAAGAGGGGGACAACAGUUGGAAACGACUGCUAAUACCGCAUAAGCCCACAGCUCGGCAUCGAGCAGAGGGAAAAGGAGCAAUCCGCUUUGAGAUGGCCUCGCGUCCGAUUAGCUAGUUGGUGAGGUAACGGCCCACCAAGGCAACGAUCGGUAGCCGGACUGAGAGGUUGAACGGCCACAUUGGGACUGAGACACGGCCCAGACUCCUACGGGAGGCAGCAGUGGGGAAUAUUGCACAAUGGGGGAAACCCUGAUGCAGCGACGCCGCGUGGAGGAAGAAGGUCUUCGGAUUGUAAACUCCUGUUGUUGAGGAAGAUAAUGACGGUACUCAACAAGGAAGUGACGGCUAACUACGUGCCAGCAGCCGCGGUAAAACGUAGGUCACAAGCGUUGUCCGGAAUUACUGGGUGUAAAGGGAGCGCAGGCGGGAAGGCAAGUUGGAAGUGAAAUCUAUGGGCUCAACCCAUAAACUGCUUUCAAAACUGUUUUUCUUGAGUAGUGCAGAGGUAGGCGGAAUUCCCGGUGUAGCGGUGGAAUGCGUAGAUAUCGGGAGGAACACCAGUGGCGAAGGCGGCCUACUGGGCACCAACUGACGCUGAGGCUCGAAAGUGUGGGUAGCAAACAGGAUUAGAUACCCUGGUAGUCCACACCGUAAACGACAAUAAAGGGUGUUGGAGGAUUGACCCCUUCAGUGCCGCAGUUAACACAAUAAGAAUCCACCUGGGGAGUACGACCGCAAGGGUGAAACUCAAAGGAAUUGACGGGGGCCCGCACAAGCAGUGGAGUAUGUGGUUUAAUUCGACGCAACGCGAAGAACCUUACCAAGUCUUGACAUCCUGCGACGAUGCUGGAAACAGUAUUUUCCUUCGGGACGCAGAGACAGGUGGUGCAUGGUUGUCGUCAGCUCGUGUCGUGAGAUGUUGGGUUAAGUCCCGCAACGAGCGCAACCCUUACUGUCAGUUACUACGCAAGAGGACUCUGGCAGGACUGCCGUUGACAAAACGGAGGAAGGUGGGGAUGACGUCAAAUCAUCAUGCCCUCUAUGACUUGGGCUACACACGUACUACAAUGGCGUUAAACAAAGAGAAGCAAGACCGCGAGGUGGAGCAAAACUCAGAAACAACGUCCCAGUUCGGACUGCAGGCUGCAACUCGCCUGCACGAAGUCGGAAUUGCUAGUAAUCGUGGAUCAGCAUGCCACGGU